AAUAAUAAUAAUAAUAAUUACAACGAUCAUAUUUUCCUUCUAUUUAUAAUUAAUUUAUUUUGAAAUUCAAAAUUUGAAAAUUUUCCCGCUUUUAACAACCCACCAUCUUUAAAGAAAAAAAAAAAAAAAGUUAAGAGGGUUCUUUAAUUAAUUAUAAUUUAAUUUUUUAAUCAUGUUUAUUAAUAAUUAGGUUUUGUUGUCGUUUAACGUUUUCCUUGGAUGAGAUUGUCGUUUUUUUAAUUUUUUUUUUUUUACUUUGUUAUUCUUUUGUUGAAAUUUUAUGUAUAUUAAUUUGGUCAUUUUCAUUGCUUGCUAUACUUAAUGUCGUUUUUCCAAUAUAUUGUCGUUUUUUGUGAUUACUAAUUUUGUAAUGAGAUUGUCGUUUUCUACUUUGUUAUUCUUUUGUUGAAUUUUAUGUCGUUGCUUGCUAUAUUUAAUGUCGUUUUCCAAAUAUAUUGUCGUUUUUUGUGAAUACUAACUUUGUAAUGAUGUCUAUUAUUAUUAUUAUUAUUAUUAUUUCGAAAAACCUCAAAAUAUUUGUACAAAUUAAUCGUGUACUUUUGACAAGGACAUAAUCUAUAUAUAUAUAUAAUUCUCUUGCUUGGACAGAUGACAUGGCGGUCUCUAUGAGUUUUUCUCACAUUUCUUUAUUUUCUCAAAAAAAAAUUAUGGAGACCUGUUAGUUUCUCCUUUAUAUAGCGGUAAAGCUCUUUCGAGGCCUAGCAAGUCUCUUUAUCUAAAUGUCAUGCCUUAUCAUGAGAGUUUGCCCUUGGUUUGGAAUCUAUAGGAAGUUGUGGGUCUCUUCUCUGUGACGCUAAGCUCCACAGGUGAUCACUAUAUUAUUGAGUAAAAUCAAUGUGUAUUAGGCUUUGGCUCACAAAAAAAUGAAGAAAGAACGACAAAAGCAUGAAGAAGCGGGAUGAAACUCUACUUGAAGAACUCUAAGAUCAUAAAAAAUGGAAUAAUACUCGAGAACAACAAUGAAGUUUAUAUUACCUAUUAGAGACGAUAAACAAUUCUCAUAUCCAACAUUGUGUAUUAUUAUGUUUAAAUUUUUUUAAAAGCACUCCCAUAUAUAUUGUGCUACUGUAUAUUUAGACCUUUAUAUUCGAAUAAAAUUUUAAUUUUAUGUGAUCUCUUCUAUUUUAUUUUUCUCUUUUAUUUAAAAACAUGUAUACAUCAAUUUUUUUUAUAAUUAUUUUUAUGCCAUAAGUUAUAUAUAAUUUUAGUACAAUAUAUAAAUUUCUUUAUGCUCCAAUCAUUUUUAACAAAAUUCAUAUAUUAUUAAUAAUUAGAUACAAAACAUUGUUUAUAAAUUUAUAUCAUUUUUUUUAUUUUUAACAUAAUUAUUCAAGAAAAAAAAUUACUUCCUUUUAAGAAUAUUAAUUCAAAAUAAUAAUUUUUUUUAAUUAAUCUAUUUGUGUUAUAUUAAUUUUAUUUUAUUGCUAUCCAUUAAAAAUUCUUCAAAUUUUAUAUUAGAAAGCUAAAAAAAAGAAAAGAGGCUAUAUUAGAGUACACAAAAUUAUUAUCAUAAAGAAACAAAUCUUACAAAACAGUACAUAAAACAUAAAUACAAAUUAAUCAAUCAAUAUAUAUAUAUACGAAGAUUUUAAGGAGUUGAUGUCGCAUGAUUCUUAUUAUCUCUAAUACUUAUUUUUUAAAUUUUUUUUACUAAUUUUGUAACCCUCUAUAUGUAGACCAAAAAUCAUAUAUAUAUCAUACUAAUACUGUACUUAAUACUAAUAACUUUUACAGCAAUGACCUAUCCAUUCAUAUAUUUUUUUCAAUUCUCCUCUCAAUGCUAUUUAUUAUCAAUCAUAGUAGUUAAGAAAAAUUAACUUUUUUUUUUAUUAUUAUUUCUUUCUUUACUAAAAAAUUACAUGCCUAUGACAUUCUAAAAACAAAAUCAUCACUUCUAUCAUUUAUAUACAUUCAUUCAUUUUAUUAAAAAACAUAAUAACAAAAUAACUAUAUUAUACCAUACGUUUUUCAUUAUUACAUGAUAUCUACACCCAUAUUUAUUAUCAAUUCUCUUGCUUGGACAGAUGACAUGGCGGUCUCUAUGAGUUUUUCUCACAUUUCUUUAUUUUCUCAUUUUUUUCAAUUUUUUAAUAUUAUCUUACUUUUGUUAGCUUUUUAACAUUUAAUAGCUUUUUAACAUUUAAAUCUAAGUUUUUGAAGCUUUUUUUUCACUACUUAAAUGCUAACGGCAGAAUUUAUUAUUUUUUAAUGUGAUCUUCCUCAACUAUUCUAUGGAGUCUCUUCUCUUCCCCUUUAUUUUUUAAACGUAUAUUAUUCAUAACAUUUUUAAAGUAUACAUUAAUUAACAUUAAUAUCUUAUUAAAAGAGAGAAUUAAGACAAAAAAAAAAAUUAUGGAGACCUGUUAGUUUCUCCUUUAUAUAGCGGUAAAGCUCUUUCGAGGCCUAGCAAGUCUCUUUAUCUAAAUGUCAUGCCUUAUCAUGAGAGUUUGCCCUUGGUUUGGAAUCUAUAGGAAGUUGUGGGUCUCUUCUCUGUGACGCUAAGCUCCACAGGUGAUCACUAUAUUAUUGAGUAAAAUCAAUGUGUAUUAGGCUUUGGCUCACAAAAAAAUGAAGAAAGAACGACAAAAGCAUGAAGAAGCGGGAUGAAACUCUACUUGAAGAACUCUAAGAUCAUAAAAAAUGGAAUAAUACUCGAGAACAACAAUGAAGUUUAUAUUACCUAUUAGAGACGAUAAACAAUUCUCAUAUCCAACAUUGUGUAUUAUUAUGUUUAAAUUUUUUUAAAAGCACUCCCAUAUAUAUUGUGCUACUGUAUAUUUAGACCUUUAUAUUCGAAUAAAAUUUUAAUUUUAUGUGAUCUCUUCUAUUUUAUUUUUCUCUUUUAUUUAAAAACAUGUAUACAUCAAUUUUUUUUAUAAUUAUUUUUAUGCCAUAAGUUAUAUAUAAUUUUAGUACAAUAUAUAAAUUUCUUUAUGCUCCAAUCAUUUUUAACAAAAUUCAUAUAUUAUUAAUAAUUAGAUACAAAACAUUGUUUAUAAAUUUAUAUCAUUUUUUUUAUUUUUAACAUAAUUAUUCAAGAAAAAAAAUUACUUCCUUUUAAGAAUAUUAAUUCAAAAUAAUAAUUUUUUUUAAUUAAUCUAUUUGUGUUAUAUUAAUUUUAUUUUAUUGCUAUCCAUUAAAAAUUCUUCAAAUUUUAUAUUAGAAAGCUAAAAAAAAGAAAAGAGGCUAUAUUAGAGUACACAAAAUUAUUAUCAUAAAGAAACAAAUCUUACAAAACAGUACAUAAAACAUAAAUACAAAUUAAUCAAUCAAUAUAUAUAUAUACGAAGAUUUUAAGGAGUUGAUGUCGCAUGAUUCUUAUUAUCUCUAAUACUUAUUUUUUAAAUUUUUUUUACUAAUUUUGUAACCCUCUAUAUGUAGACCAAAAAUCAUAUAUAUAUCAUACUAAUA